GUGACAGAAGAGAGUGAGCACACAUGGUCUUUCUUGCAUGAAGUUCCAUGCUUGAAGCUCUGCGUGCUCACUUUCUCUCUGUCAC
rfam:Macleaya cordata isolate BLH2017 scaffold1717, whole genome shotgun sequence.